CACCCUGCAACUCAUUCCCAUCCGAGCACACAGUGACUUAAUGCUUGAACUUAACCCCUCUGUGGGAUUCAGCACGGCUGAUUGUUCAUAAAACAUCAUAAAGCCUAAAACUCAGCGGAGGCUUCCUUCCCCGGCAGCAUGACUCAGCGCCGGAGCCUCCGCAUCUCAUGCUUGUGCUUUGGCACACCCCGGCUUCAGGCACACCUCUUGCUGUGUGGCUUUUUCAGACUUCUGAGGAACAGGGGAAGGCACCCCAAAUGUGUGCAGACCAUGCAGAUGCCUGUCAAGGAGUGCGCCAGGUCUGUCUGCCAAGAUCAUGAACAUGAAAAAUUAAAAGAUUCAUCACUUCUGCUGUGAUUACCACUACAGGCUUUCCCAUUGAGAGGCCAGGUAUGAACUGUCAGGAUGUUGUUUAACACUUUUUCAUAGGAAAUGAAUUAAUUUUCGUCUCAUAUUGAUGCCGCCAAGUUAGCCCUCAGUUUAGAACAAGAAGUAUUGAUCAGAGAAGUCUUUUUUUUUUUUUUUUUUUUUUUUGUAUAGAUGAAGGGCCACUCAAUGGUGUGGCAAGUCCUCUAUUAUAGCACAAAACCCCUCUAUAACUCCUUUUUAGAGGAGGAUGCUUCUGGAUUUCUCUGGGACUUGUACAACUUCUGUGUAACUCAAGGAGGGUGUAAAUGAGAAGAAAUGGCAGAAAAUAAGAGCUAACAUUGUCAUUACUGUGUAAUUUUCAAUUUUUAGAGCAUUGGGUUGCCUCCUGAAAAAAGGAUUCAAACAAGAUGUGCAAGGAGGUGUGGCUGAAAAUGUACGGCACAAGGCUAAGUGCCCAUAUCCUGAUGUCAGAGGAUGACUCUGAAAUGCAGCACCUGGUUCCUGGAGUCUGUAGCAGGAGAGCAGCCAAGCAGCCAGCUGAAGUCUCCAGCAUCAGAGAGCUCCAAACCUCAGAAAACUGAAGUCAAAAUUACAUGAAUUCAAAAGGGAUUUGUAGUCCAC
rnacentral:lncRNA from 1 species